rnacentral:rRNA from 2 species
ACGAACGCUGGCGGCGUGCCUAAUACAUGCAAGUCGAGCGAAUCGAUGGGAGCUUGCUCCCUGAGAUUAGCGGCGGACGGGUGAGUAACACGUGGGCAACCUGCCUAUAAGACUGGGAUAACUUCGGGAAACCGGAGCUAAUACCGGAUACGUUCUUUUCUCGCAUGAGAGAAGAUGGAAAGACGGUUUUGCUGUCACUUAUAGAUGGGCCCGCGGCGCAUUAGCUAGUUGGUGAGGUAAUGGCUCACCAAGGCGACGAUGCGUAGCCG